AAAAGAACAUGUCAUAAAGUAAUGUUGAUAAUCUUCUUCAGUAAAGCAUUUGUUACAUAAAUCAUUGUCUGUUACCUUCCAUCUAAAUAAUAACUUUUUAGUAGGUAAAAUGCUUUGUAAAAGUUUCCAUCGAUACAUUUCAAUUUAUUUUCUUCUAAAUAGUAAAAAUAAAGUUGUACAAUGGUUUCAAAUGAAAUUCUGUCUGUAAUGGUAAUACAUUUAACCAUACAUUUAUACCAAUAGGUUUCACAA
rnacentral:lncRNA from 1 species